UCCUCCCGAGUGCUUGCACUCAAUUGGAAAGAGGAGUGGCGGACGGGUGAGUAACACGUGGGUAACCUACCCAUCAGAGGGGGAUAACACUUGGAAACAGGUGCUAAUACCGCAUAACAGUUUAUGCCGCAUGGCAUAAGAGUGAAAGGCGCUUUCGGGUGUCGCUGAUGGAUGGACCCGCGGUGCAUUAGCUAGUUGGUGAGGUAACGGCUCACCAAGGCCACGAUGCAUAGCCGACCUGAGAGGGUGAUCGGCCACACUGGGACUGAGACACGGCCCAGACUCCUACGGGAGGCAGCAGUAGGGAAUCUUCGGCAAUGGACGAAAGUCUGACCGAGCAACGCCGCGUGAGUGAAGAAGGUUUUCGGAUCGUAAAACUCUGUUGUU
rnacentral:rRNA from 1 species